CCUACGGGUGGCAGCAGUGAGGAAUAUUGGUCAAUGGCCGGAAGGCUGAACCAGCCACGCCGCGUGAAGGACGAAGGUGCCCAGCAUUGUAAACUUCUUUUGUCAAGGGACAAAAUCAGGCUCGAGCGCCUGACCGAGGGUACUUGAAGAAAAAGCAUCGGCUAACUCGGUGCCAGCAGCCGCGGUAAUACGGAGGAUGCGAGCGUUAUCAGGAUUUAUUGGGUUUCAGGGGUGCGUAGGCGGACUGUUAAGUCAGCGGUAAAAGCCCGGGGCUAAACCCCGGCGAGCCGUUGAAACUGGCUGGCUUGAGAUGUCGAGAGGUAUGCGGAAUGCGCAGUGUAGCGGUGAAAUGCUUAGAUAUUGCGCAGAACUCCGAUUGCGAAGGCAGCAUACCGGCGGCGAUCUGACGCUGAGGCACGAAAGCGUGGGUAUCGAACAGGAUUAGAUACCCUUGUAGUC
rnacentral:rRNA from 1 species